rnacentral:rRNA from 1 species
GCGCGAAAACUUUACAAUGCCGGCAACGGCGAUAAGGGAACCUCGAGUGCCAGGAUACAAUUCUGGCUGUCGUGAUGCCUAAAAAGCAUUGCAUAGCAAGGGCCGGGCAAGACCGGUGCCAGCCGCCGCGGUAACACCGGCGGCUCGAGUGGUAACCGUUAUUAUUGGGUCUAAAGGGUCUGUAGCCGGCCGGAUAAGUCUCUUGGGAAAUCCGGCAGCUCAACUGUCGGGCUAUCAGGAGAUACUGUCUGGCUCGAGGCCGGGAGAGGUGAGAGGUACUUCAGGGGUAGGGGUGAAAUCUUGUAAUCCUUGAAGGACCACCAGUGGCGAAGGCGUCUCACCAGAACGGACCUGACGGCAAGGGACGAAAGCUAGGGGCACGAACCGGAUUAGAUACCCGGGUAGUCCUAGCCGUAAACGAUACUCGCUAGGUGUCGGCCACGGUGCGACCGUGGUCGGUGCCGUAGGGAAGCCGUGAAGCGAGCCACCUGGGAAGUACGGCCGCAAGGCUGAAACUUAAGGAAUUGGCGGGGGA